rnacentral:rRNA from 1 species
GUGAGCUAAUACCGGAUAAUAUCUUUCCUCAUAAGGGGUAAAGAUCAAAGGUGGCUUCGGCUAUCACUUAUGGAUGGGCCUGCGUCUGAUUAGCUAGUUGGUAAGGUAAUGGCUUACCAAAGCAAUGAUCAGUAGCUGGUCUGAGAGGACGACCAGCCACACUGGGACUGAGACACGGCCCAGACUCCUACGGGAGGCAGCAGUGGGGAAUUUUGGACAAUGGGGGAAACCCUGAUCCAGCCAUGCCGCGUGAGUGAAGAAGGCCUUCGGGUUGUAAAGCUCUUUCAGCCGGAACGAAACGGUUACGAUUAAUACUCGUAAUUAAUGACGGUACCGGCAGAAGAAGCACCGGCUAACUACGUGCCAGCAGCCGCGGUAAUACGUAGGGUGCGAGCGUUAAUCGGAAUUACUGGGCGUAAAGGGUCCGCAGGUUGUUUUGUAAGUCAGAUGUGAAAGCCCCGGGCUUAACCUGGGAACUGCGUCUGAAACUACAAGGCUAGAGUAUGGCAGAGGGGGGUGGAAUUCCGCGUGUAGCAGUGAAAUGCGUAGAUAUGUGGAGGAACACCGAUGGCGAAGGCAGCCCCCUGGGUCAAUACUGACGCUGAGGGACGAAAGCAUGGGGAGCAAACAGGAUUAGAUACCCUGGUAGUCCAUGCCCUAAACGAUGUCAACUAGUUGUCGGGCCUUUACGGGCUUGGUAACGUAGCUAACGCGUGAAGUUGACCGCCUGGGGAGUACGAUCGCAAGAUUAAAACUCAAAUGAAUUGACGGGGACCCGCACAAGCGGUGGAUUAUGUGGAUUAAUUCGAUGCAACGCGAAGAACCUUACCUGGUCUUGAUAUCCUGCGAACUUUCUAGAAAUAGAUUGGUGCCUUCGGGAACGCAGUGACAGGUGCUGCAUGGCUGUCGUCAGCUCGUGUCGUGAGAUGUUGGGUUAAGUCCCGUAACGAGCGCAACCCUUAUCCUUAUUUGCCAGCACAUCAUGGUGGGAACUAUAAGGAGACUGCCGGUGAUAAACCGGAGGAAGGCGGGGAUGACGUCAAGUCAUCAUGGCCCUUACGACCAGGGCUACACACGUGCUACAAUGGGAAGGACAAAGAGCCGCGAAGCCGCGAGGUGUAGCUAAUCUCACAAAUCUUU